AAAUACACCGGAUGUUUGCUAAUGCGGAAGAAUCGCAGGAACUAGCGAAGAGAAUGUACGCUUAACUCGGAAACUGUAAAAAAUAGCCAUUUUGAACGAAUUAAACUGAACAUAACCACAAUUUUAACCACCUAAGCUGGGUAGAAAGUAAUGAAUGUAUUAUUCAUUUUAGCUGAAACGUUUUUCAUUAGAACAAGCUUGAUUUCUUGAUGAUGAAUAUUUUUCACUGGAUUUCAUAGCCUGCAUGAAACAACACGAAGAGGAACAUGCAGAUUGGGGGCUUUCUCUUGCUGAUUUAUUUUCAGCACAUCGGAGCAACACCCGAGAACUGUAAAAAGAAAUCGCCAUGUGAUGCUCUUGUAUGUUUUCCAACGAGGGGGUCAUCAGAACCAGCUUGCCCGUCCACCAAUCAAACAGAUCUCUGCCGAAUUGACGGAAGCUGCAUUGAGUAUAAAUGUGACGCAGCUUUAACCUGCAAUUGCAAAGAAAGUCAGGUUGAAUUGGCAGACUUAACCGAAUGCCCUAGAAAAUAUGAAGGAUUCAGUAAUGGCUCAUGGCAGUUUGGUCCUGCUGCAGGUACUGCUGCUGCUGCUGCUGCUCCUACUGCUGCUGCUGCUGUUGUUGGUCUUGCUGUUGUUGCUGCUGCCACCAUGACAAUGGAAUGCUCCUUCAGCCCAUUAUAAUUGACCCCAAGAGAACCUGCCUGCAGCAAGCUGGGGAAUCUCCACCAGGAAGGACUGGAAAUUGCAUAACCUCCCCACCCCGAAUCUACCGGGAGCAUCUCCACCAUCGAUCUCCACGGAGAGGACAAGAAGCACGUGACCUCCAUGUGAAGGACCCAAUGAAAAAAGUGGAAGGACACGGAAAUUGCGUAACCUGUAGCAAAACAUUUAUUUAAACGGAAUAUUACAUUACAUUACACUACAGGCAUUUAGCAGAUGCUCUUAUCCAGAGCGACGUACAACAAGUGCAUUAGUUCAAGGUGCAAAGGUGCAAAAGAAACACACUAGAGUGAAGUAAAGAUCGUAGUGCCAGAAGUGACCACAGAUCAGGACUCCAACCCUGUAGAGCAGGGGUGUCAACCUCAAAUACACAGUGGGCCAAAAUUUAAAACUUGAACAAAGUCCCGGGCCAACAUUGAACAAAUGAACCUUUUAAUAUGGACCCAAACAAGUUUUGCUUUAACAUUGAAUAUGGAACAAGCAACGCUUAUUACUAUACAAUAUAUAACAAUAGUGCAGACAUGCAAAAUCGAAUUUCAAAUAAAAAAACACAUCAAUGGCAUUAAUUUAUUAAAUGAAAUUUAAAUAAAAAUCGUAUGCCUCUUUUCUA